rnacentral:rRNA from 1 species
CUGCGAAUGGCUCAUUAAAUCAGUUAUCGUUUAUUUGAUAGUACCUUACUACUUGGAUAACCGUGGUAAUUCUAGAGCUAAUACAUGCUAAAAACCCCGACUUCGGAAGGGGUGUAUUUAUUAGAUAAAAAACCAAUGCCCUUCGGGGCUCCUUGGUGAUUCAUGAUAACUUAACGAAUCGCAUGGCCUUGCGCCGGCGAUGGUUCAUUCAAAUUUCUGCCCUAUCAACUUUCGAUGGUAGGAUAGUGGCCUACCAUGGUAUCAACGGGUAACGGGGAAUUAGGGUUCUAUUCCGGAGAGGGAGCCUGAGAAACGGCUACCACAUCCAAGGAAGGCAGCAGGCGCGCAAAUUACCCAAUCCCGACACGGGGAGGUAGUGACAAUAAAUACUGAUACAGGGCUCUUUUGGGUCUUGUAAUUGGAAUGAGUACAAUUUAAAUACCUUAACGAGGAACAAUUGGAGGGCAAGUCUGGUGCCAGCAGCCGCGGUAAUUCCAGCUCCAAUAGCGUAUAUUAAAGUUGUUGCAGUUAAAAAGCUCGUAGUUGAACCUUGGGCCUGGCUGGCCGGUCCGCCUCACCGCGUGUACUGGUCCGGCCGGGCCUUUCCUUCUGGGGAUCCUCAUGCCCUUCACUGGGUGUGCUGGGGAACCAGGACUUUUACUUUGAAAAAAUUAGAGUGUUCAAAGCAGGCCUUUGCUCGAAUACAUUAGCAUGGAAUAAUAGAAUAGGACGUGCGGUCCUAUUUUGUUGGUUUCUAGGACCGCCGUAAUGAUUAAUAGGGAUAGUCGGGGGCAUCAGUAUUCAAUUGUCAGAGGUGAAAUUCUUGGAUUUAUUGAAGACUAACUACUGCGAAAGCAUUUGCCAAGGAUGUUUUCAUUAAUCAGUGAACGAAAGUUAGGGGAUCGAAGACGAUCAGAUACCGUCGUAGUCUUAACCGUAAACUAUGCCGACUAGGGAUCGGGCGAUGUUAUUCUUUUGACUCGCUCGGCACCUUACGAGAAAU